rnacentral:rRNA from 1 species
GUGAGGAAUUUUCCGCAAUGGGCGAAAGCCUGACGGAGCAAUGCCGCGUGAAGGAUGAAGGCCUAUGGGUUGUAAACUUCUUUUCUCAGAAAAGAAUUAUGACGGUAUCUGAGGAAUAAGCAUCGGCUAACUCUGUGCCAGCAGCCGCGGUAAGACAGAGGAUGCAAGCGUUAUCCGGAAUGAUUGGGCGUAAAGCGUCUGUAGGUUGUUUAAAAAGUAUUCUGUCAAAGAUUAGGGCUUAACCCUAGAUAGGCAGAAUAAACUUUUAAGAUAGAGUUUGGUAGAGGCAAGGGGAAUUCCCGGUGGAGCGGUGAAAUGCGUAGAUAUCGGGAGGAACACCAAAGGCGAAGGCACUCUGCUGGGCCAAUACUAACACUGAGAGACGAAAGCGAGGAGAGCAAAUGGGAUUAGAAACCCCUGUAGUCC